AGGGUUUGAUUCUGGCUCAGGAUGAACGCUGGCGGCGUGCCUAACACAUGCAAGUCGAACGGACUUACAUUGAAGCCUAGCGAUAUGUAAGUGAGUGGCGAACGGGUGAGUAACGCGUGAGGAACCUGCCUCAAAGAGGGGGACAACAGUUGGAAACGACUGCUAAUACCGCAUAAGCCCACGGCUCGGCAUCGAGCAGAGGGAAAAGGAGUGAUCCGCUUUGAGAUGGCCUCGCGUCCGAUUAGCUGGUUGGUGAGGUAAUGGCCCACCAAGGCGACGAUCGGUAGCCGGACUGAGAGGUUGAACGGCCACAUUGGGACUGAGACACGGCCCAG
rnacentral:rRNA from 1 species